CAAAAUAAAGCUUAAUAGUAAGCUUUUCACUUACACUGAAAAGAUUCUGUGCAAUUCAGAUAUUUUGA
rnacentral:tRNA from 1 species